GCGCGCUUAACGCAUGCAAGUCGAGCGAUGAGGCUCCCUUCGGGGAGUACAUCAGCGGCAGACGGGUGAGUAACACGUAGAUAACCUGCCCUCAAGACGGGGACAACCGGUGGAAACAGCGGCUAAUACCCGAUAUGCUCACAGGAUCGGGAGAUCGAGUGAGGAAAGCGCCCCUUCGGGGGAGAGUGUUUGAGGAGGGAUCUGCGGCCCAUCAGCUAGUUGGUGAGGUAACGGCUCACCAAGGCGAAGACGGGUAGGGGGUGUGAGAGCAUGGCCCCCCACAAUGGGACUGAGACACGGCCCAUACUCCUACGGGAGGCAGCAGCGGGGAAUAUUGCGCAAUGGACGGAAGUCAGACGCAGCGACGCCGCGUGGGUGAGGAAGGCCUUCGGGUUGUAAAGCCCUUUUCAGGGGAGCGAGAAAGGACGGUACCCUUGGAAUAAGCGUCGGCUAACUACGUGCCAGCAGCCGCGGUAAGACGUAGGACGCAAGCGUUAUCCGGAUUUACUGGGCGUAAAGCGCCUGUAGGCGGUCAAGUAAGUCGGAUGUGAAAGCCCCGUGCUCAACGCGGGGAAGCCAUUCGAUACUGCGUGACUAGAGAACGGCAGAGGGAAACGGAAUUUCUGGUGUAGCGGUAAAAUGCGCAGAGAUCAGAAAGAACACCGAUGGCGAAGGCAGUUUCCUAGGCCGCAUCUGACGCUGAGAGGCUAAAGCUAGGGGAGCAAACAGGAUUAGAGACCCUGGUAGUCCUAGCUGUAAACGAUGGAUGCUAGGUGUGGGCCGGAAAGGUCCGUGCCGUAGUUAACGCGAUAAGCAUCCCGCCUGGGGAGUACGGCCGCAAGGCUAAAACUUCAACGAAUUGACGGGGACCCCGGACAAGGCAGCGGAAGCCGUGUGGUUUAUUUCGAUGCUACACGCAGAACCUUACCUGGGGUUUGACUUGUAGGUGGGAGUUGAAAGUGAAAGCGGAACGACCCUUUCCGGGGAGCUUACCAGGUGCUGCUGGUUGUCUCAAGCUCGUGCCGGGAGGUGCCGGGGUAAAGUCCGGAACGAGCGCAACCCUUGUCCUUAGU
rnacentral:rRNA from 1 species